GGGGGAGAGAAACUUUAUGGCAAGAGGUACGCCAGUGGACUCCAAAUCCACCGUUAAGAGGUUUGAUUCCUCCCUCCCCUGCCA
rnacentral:tRNA from 1 species